AGUGAACGCUGGCGGUAGGCCUAACACAUGCAAGUCGAACGGCAGCACAGUAAGAGCUUGCUCUUACGGGUGGCGAGUGGCGGACGGGUGAGGAAUACAUCGGAAUCUACUUUUUCGUGGGGGAUAACGUAGGGAAACUUACGCUAAUACCGCAUACGACCUACGGGUGAAAGCAGGGGAUCUUCGGACCUUGCGCGACUGAAUGAGCCGAUGUCGGAUUAGCUAGUUGGCGGGGGAAAGGCCCACCAAGGCGACGAUCCGUAGCUGGUCUGAGAGGAUGAUCAGCCACACUGGAACUGAGACACGGUCCAGACUCCUACGGGAGGCAGCAGUGGGGAAUAUUGGACAAUGGGCGCAAGCCUGAUCCAGCCAUACCGCGUGGGUGAAGAAGGCCUUCGGGUUGUAAAGCCCUUUUGUUGGGAAAGAAAAGCAGCAGGUUAAUACCCCGCUGUUCUGACGGUACCCAAAGAAUAAGCACCGGCUAACUUCGUG
rnacentral:rRNA from 1 species